GGGAUGGACCUGUUCGCACUGAAGAUUAAAAAGGGAUGGAAACAAGGCCUGCUUCCAACUGUUGCACUGGAGACUAAAUGAGUUCGUGGACUGUACUAAGAACCUGAAACAAGGCCAGGGAAAGGAGGAUCACUGGGAAGGUCUAUUCUCAUUAAUCCAAGAGGCCAGGCCAAGGGCAUCCCCAAGACCUCAGAGCAUGCCUUGAGAGUGGUUUCUGAGGAUGACAAGGCACAAUGCAUCCGGCAGCCACAGCGGGAGAGCCAAGCGUGUCGGCCAUUAUGCUGCCAUCAAUAGCUGUCGAUGUCACGGCUUUGGAACCUCCUGCCUUAGACACCAGAAUCUCAUGGUGAAUUUCACCCCCAUGAGCGCUGGAGCAUUCAAGAAACAAGGAAAGAAGGUCCUCCUGAAGGGGAAGAUUUUCCUGAAAAGGUGGAUGAAUAUGGCUUGGCAUCCUUCAGCUGACCUACUUUCCCUGGACCAGGCUGACACCUUGCCCCUACUGGAAUCUGGAAUUGAAGAAGCAACGUCUUUCCCCUGCACCGUGUUUCCUUGCAAUUACGCCUCACAGGUUGUGGGAAAUGCCUUACAGGGGUUAAGACCAUGGAUUCACGCCAGACUUACAAGAUCCGUGACCUUGGCCAAGCUAUACAGCCUUUUGUACUUUCAUUUGCUCAUUCGUAAGUGAUGCAAUGGUACCAACUUCACAGUAUUUGUGAAGUAUAAUUAGGUUAAUUAUAUAUAACACAGCGGGAUGCCA
rnacentral:lncRNA from 1 species